GUUAUAGGGUCAAGCGAACAAGUGCAUGUGGUGGAUGCCUUGGCGAUCACAGGCGAUGAAGGACGCGGUAGCCUGCGAAAAGCUUCGGGGAGCUGGCAAACGAGCUUUGAUCCGGAGAUGUCCGAAUGGGGAAACCCGGCCCGAAUGGGUCAUCCCACACUGAAUUCAUAGGUGUGGGAAGCGAACGCGGCGAACUGAAACAUCUAAGUAGCUGCAGGAACAGAAAUCAACCGAGAUUCCCAGAGUAGUGGCGAACGAAAUGGGAACAGCCUUGUACUCUUUAGCAGCAUUGUUAGCAGAACGGGAUGGAAAGCCCGGCCGUAGCAGGUGAUAGCCCUGUAUGCGAAAACAGCGUUGUGGAACUAGGUGUACGACAAGUAGGGCGGGACACGUGAAAUCCUGUCUGAAGAUGGGGGGACCAUCCUCCAAGGCUAAAUACUCGUGAUCGACCGAUAGUGAACCAGUACCGUGAGGGAAAGGCGAAAAGAACCCCGGGAGGGGAGUGAAAUAGAUCCUGAAACCGCAUGCAUACAAACAGUCGGAGCCCCGCUUUAAGCGCUUUCGGCGAGCCUCACGCAGUGAGGAUCGUCAAAAGACUCCAGUGUGAAAUAGCACCACUGGCGCGCAAAGCGGUUUAAGCGCGAGAGCGCUUAAAGCGGGGUGACGGCGUACCUUUUGUAUAAUGGGUCAGCGACUUACAUUCAGUGGCAAGCUUAACCGAUUAGGGCAGGCGUAGCGAAAGCGAGUCCGAACAGGGCGUUGAGUCGCUGGGUGUAGACCCGAAACCAGAUGAUCUAUCCAUGGCCAGGUUGAAGGUGCGGUAACACGUACUGGAGGACCGAACCCACUAACGUUGAAAAGUUAGGGGAUGAGCUGUGGAUAGGGGUGAAAGGCUAAACAAAUCUGGAAAUAGCUGGUUCUCUCCGAAAACUAUUUAGGUAGUGCCUCGUGUCUCACCUUCGGGGGUAGAGCACUGUCAUGGUUGGGGGGUCUAUUGCUGAUUACCCCGCCAUAGCAAACUCCGAAUACCGAAGAGUGCAAUCACGGGAGACAGACAUCGGGUGCUAACGUCCGGUGUCAAGAGGGAAACAACCCAGACCGCCAGCUAAGGUCCCCAAAUAUAGCUAAGUGGGAAACGAAGUGGGAAGGCUAAAACAGUCAGGAGGUUGGCUUAGAAGCAGCCACCCUUUAAAGAAAGCGUAAUAGCUCACUGAUCGAGUCGUCCUGCGCGGAAGAUGUAACGGGGCUAAGCUAUAUACCGAAGCUGCGGACGCACGUAAGUGCGUGGUAGGAGAGCGUUCUGUAAGCCUGUGAAGGUGUCUUGUAAAGGAUGCUGGAGGUAUCAGAAGUGCGAAUGCUGACAUGAGUAGCGAUAAAGGGGGUGAAAGGCCCCCUCGCCGUAAGCCCAAGGUUUCCUACGCAACGUUCAUCGGCGUAGGGUGAGUCGGCCCCUAAGGCGAGGCAGAGAUGCGUAGCUGAUGGGAAGCAGGUUAAUAUUCCUGCACCGUCGUAUGAUGCGAUGGGGGGACGGAUCGCGGAAGGUUGUCCGGGUGUUGGAAGUCCCGGUCCCUGCAUUGGAGAAGGCGCUCAGGCAAAUCCGGGCGCGGGAUUCAAGGAUGUGGGGCGAGCGGCCUAGAGCUGCGAAGCAAUUGGAAGUGGUUCCAAGAAAAGCCUCUAAGCUUCAGUCAUACGAGACCGUACCGCAAACCGACACAGGUGGGCGAGAUGAGUAUUCUAAGGCGCUUGAGAGAACUCGGGAGAAGGAACUCGGCAAAUUGGUACCGUAACUUCGGGAUAAGGUACGCCCUGGUAGCUUGACUGGCCUGCGCCAGAAGGGUGAAGGGGUUGCAAUAAAAUGGUGGCUGCGACUGUUUAAUAAAAACACAGCACUCUGCAAACACGAAAGUGGACGUAUAGGGUGUGACGCCUGCCCGGUGCCGGAAGAUUAAAUGAUGGGGUGCAAGCUCUUGAUUGAAGUCCCGGUAAACGGCGGCCGUAACUAUAACGGUCCUAAGGUAGCGAAAUUCCUUGUCGGGUAAGUUCCGACCUGCACGAAUGGCGUAACGAUGGCCACACUGUCUCCUCCCGAGACUCAGCGAAGUUGAAGUGUUUGUGAUGAUGCAAUCUCCCCGCGGCUAGACGGAAAGACCCCAUGAACCUUUACUGUAGCUUUGCAUUGGACUUUGAACCGAUCUGUGUAGGAUAGGUGGGAGGCUUAGAAGCGUGGACGCUAGUUCACGUGGAGCCGUCCUUGAAAUACCACCCUGGUUUGUUUGAGGUUCUAACCUUGGCCCGUGAAUCCGGGUCGGGGACAGUGCAUGGUAGGCAGUUUGACUGGGGCGGUCUCCUCCCAAAGUGUAACGGAGGAGUUCGAAGGUACGCUUGGUACGGUCGGACAUCGUACCUAAAGUGCAAUGGCAAAAGCGUGCUUAACUGCGAGACCGACAAGUCGAGCAGGUGCGAAAGCAGGACAUAGUGAUCCGGUGGUUCUGAAUGGAAGGGCCAUCGCUCAACGGAUAAAAGGUACUCUGGGGAUAACAGGCUGAUACCGCCCAAGAGUUCAUAUCGACGGCGGUGUUUGGCACCUCGAUGUCGGCUCAUCUCAUCCUGGGGCUGUAGCCGGUCCCAAGGGUAUGGCUGUUCGCCAUUUAAAGAGGUACGUGAGCUGGGUUUAAAACGUCGUGAGACAGUUUGGUCCCUAUCUGCCGUGGGCGUUGGAAUCUUGACGGGGGCUGCUCCUAGUACGAGAGGACCGGAGUGGACGUACCGCUGGUGUACCUGUUGUCUCGCCAGAGGCAUCGCAGGGUAGCUAUGUACGGAAGAGAUAACCGCUGAAAGCAUCUAAGCGGGAAACUCGCCUGAAGAUGAGGAUUCCCUGGAGGCUUGACCUCCUUGAAGGGUCGUUCGAGACCAGGACGUUGAUAGGCUGGGUGUGGAAGCGCAGUAAUGCGUUAAGCUAACCAGUACUAAUUGCCCGUAAGGCUUGAUCCUAUAACCAGUGUGUUUCA
rnacentral:rRNA from 1 species